rnacentral:rRNA from 1 species
GACGGAGGAUGCAAGCGUUAUCCGGAAUGAUUGGGCGUAAAGCGUCCGCAGGUGGCAGUUCAAGUCUGCUGUCAAAGACCGGGGCUUAACUUCGGAAAGGCAGUGGAAACUGAACAGCUAGAGUAUGGUAGGGGCAGAGGGAAUUCCUGGUGUAGCGGUGAAAUGCGUAGAGAUCAGGAAGAACAUCGGUGGCGAAGGCGCUCUGCUGGACCAUAACUGACACUCAGGGACGAAAGCUAGGGAGCGAAUGG